rnacentral:rRNA from 1 species
GAUGAACGCUGGCGGCGUGCCUAAUACAUGCAAGUCGAGCGAACAGACGAGGAGCUUGCUCCUCUGACGUUAGCGGCGGACGGGUGAGUAACACGUGGAUAACCUACCUAUAAGACUGGGAUAACUUCGGGAAACCGGAGCUAAUACCGGAUAAUAUAUUGAACCGCAUGGUUCAAUAGUGAAAGACGGUUUUGCUGUCACUUAUAGAUGGAUCCGCGCCGCAUUAGCUAGUUGGUAAGGUAACGGCUUACCAAGGCAACGAUGCGUAGCCGACCUGAGAGGGGGAACGGCCACACUGGAACUGAGACACGGCCCAGGCCCCUACGGGAGGCAGCAGGAGGGAAUCUUCCGAAAUGGGCGAAAGCCUGAGGGAGAAACGCCGGGUGGGUGAUGAAGGUUUUCGGAUCGUAAAACUUUGUUAUUAGGGAAAAAAAAAUGUGUAAGUAACUAUGCCCGUCCUGACGGUACCUAAUCAAAAAGCCACGGCUAACUACGU